rnacentral:piRNA from 1 species
AUGCAAUUGAAAGUUAUACAGAAUGCGU